rnacentral:misc_RNA from 1 species
CGGAUGACCGAGCGACAUCGACGACAGAUGUCCGCCGGCGGACCAGCCCGAGACGAUCAUCCUGUCCGGAUCACCGCCCAGCGCGGGCAACUCGGUCACCAGAUAGUCGAUUCCGGUUCGGACUUCGUCGACGAUCUGGCCGAGGGAGGCAUCGGGCGCGAGCGUAUAGCCGAUCAGGGCGACGUUGAUGCCAUGAGCCAUCGGGCCCGCCGCGCAGAAGGUGAAGUUCUCCUUCGCGCGCGUCUGCCAGUAGCCGCCGUGAAUGAAGACCAGCGUCGGGCCGUCAUCCCCGGCUUUC